AUCCUGCCUUGUUUCAUGGUCAAGAUCAGCCCCACCUCUUUGGCAGAAACAAAACAGAAAGAGCAAAGAGUGCUUGGGUGAAUGAAAAGGAACGGAGAUGAAAUCCAAGCUGUUUUUCCUCUUCCUUCUCCUGGAAAUCUCACCAGACAUCUCCGCUGCUGUGCAACUGGCCCAGCCUAGCUCACUCAUUGUAAAGCCCGGAGGGUCCUUCAAACUGACCUGUGUCGUCUCUGGGCCUGAGGUCGGCGGGUGGUUCUGGGGAUGGAAUCGUCUAUCUCCAGGCAAAAAGCUGGAAUGGUUGGGGGGCAUCAAAAGCAUCGCACAAGGAGGAGAACCUUACUACAACACAGCAUUCAGCGGUCGAAUUACUAUUGCCAGGAGCAACUGGAACAAUGAGUUCUACUUCCAGUUGCGGGCCUUAGUCACUGAUGAUUCUGCCGUUUAUUACUGCACAAGAGAGCGAAAAGGAGACACA